UGUGAAUAUAAACCCUAGCUCUGCCGUUCUGGGUUGUCUAUCUUGGUACGCUUUGCUGCAUCUGUGAGAGAUAUGGAGAGAUAAUAUACGGCUUAUUCUCCUUGCGACGGUAGCUGCUGUGUUUGUUUCAGUCGACGCACGAUGCACCCCGGGCGAGUCUGAUUGUCAAUGAUGGAAUUGCCCUAAGCAUGUGCUAGAGCCGAUGUCGCCGGAAUGGUUGAGAAGCCACUUGCGCGAAGUCUGUUUCGUGUUACUUGCCUUAUGCCGAUCCCAUACUGCAAGCGUCAGAAUCCGCAGAUACAGCCUUUUGUUACUUGGUUCUGUGUCGUUUUAUGGGGAUUUGGAUACCUUUGUACUCUUUGUACGUAUCCGUCUCACAUUAUUUUAGUUGACCUGUUCUCGAAUGCUCUAGGAAUUCCUCUUGUUUCAACUUUCGAUUUACAAUGCUAGGUUUUAUCUCUUUGCCCUCCCUUGUCUGCAUUACUUAAACGUCGUUGCCCGCAUGAUGAAAUGUUCCAUCACGACGGUCAUCAGAGCUAUGGCUGUGCUGUUAACAACUUGGAAUUAGGAUCUGACGGGUCAGUAAAUUUUCUUUUCAGUGUUUACACAUAUUGUGCCUCAACUCUGAUUCUCGAAGGGCAAAUCUUCAACGAAUCCUGUCAUAGUGGCAUAGACCAACGUCUAUUGAGAGAACGUGGGUAUAUUACUUUGUAGUGCUCUACCCAAAGUACUCUCACAACAUUCCCUGACCUACUGAUACAGUACAGACAACUCGAAAAAUACUGAAUAAACUAAAUUUCAAAUUAUGACACUGUAAUAACACUGUUAUAGAAAGUGUCAUAAUCUUCAAUUU